ACAUGCAUAUGAUCAGGUGGCCCUCUGGCUCAGAGAGCUGAACCAAAUGGAGCCUGCUUCCAUGUCAAAGUCGGUUUCUAUGUGUUGUGCUGGGAACUGGAUGCAAAGCUAUUGUUCAAGCCAGAGACAGUAUCUGACAAUUGUUCUGUUGGUACUGAAGUGUUCCAGAGCAGGGACAAGAAGAGGAAAAUGAGAGUGGGGAUACCAGA